rnacentral:misc_RNA from 1 species
UCCGCCUGGGGAGUACGGUCGCAAGACCGAAACUCAAAGAAAUUGACGGGGGCCCGCACAAGCGGUGGAGCAUGUGGUUUAAUUCGACGCAACGCGAAGAACCUUACCAGCCCUUGACAUGCCCGGACGGUUUCCAGAGAUGGAUUCCUCCUAGCAAUAGGUCGGGACACAGGUGCUGCAUGGCUGUCGUCAGCUCGUGUCGUGAGAUGUUGGGUUAAGUCCCGCAACGAGCGCAACCCUCGCCAUUAGUUGCCCUUAUUAAGUUAGGCACUCUAGUGGGACUGCCGGUGAUAAGCCGGAGGAAGGUGGGGAUGACGUGUCCUUGAUAGG